GUCCACGCCGUAAACUAUGAUCACUCGCUGUUGGCGAUAAAUUGUCAGCGGCUGAGCGAAAGCAUUAAGUGAUCCACCUGGGGAGUACGAUCGCAAGGUUGAAACUCAAAGGAAUUGACGGGGGCCCGCACAAGCGGAGGAACAUGUGGUUUAAUUCGAUGAUACGCGAGGAACCUUACCUGGGCUUAAAUGUAGAGCGACAGACUGGGAAACUGGUCCUUCUUCGGACGAUCUACAAGGUGCUGCAUGGUUGUCGU
rnacentral:rRNA from 1 species